AACGAACGCUGGCGGCAUGCCUAACACAUGCAAGUCGAACGAAACCGUCCGGUUUACUGGCGCCCGGGUGCGUGAAGCGGGGGAACCUGCCCUUAGGUUCGGCAUAACUCCUCGAAAGGGGUGCUAAUAACGGAUAAUAUCUUCGGACCAAAGAUUUAUCGCCUUUGGAUGGGCCCGCGUUGGUUUGGCUAGUUGGUAGGGUAAAAGCCUGCCAAGGCGACGAUCCAUAGCUGGUCUGAGAGGAGGAUCAGCCACACUGGGACUGAGACACGGCCCAGACGCCUGCGGGAGGCAGCAGUGGGUAAUAUAGGACAGUGGGCGUAAGCCUGAGACAGCAAGGCCGGGUGAGUGAUGAAGGGGUUAGGGUUGUAAAGCUCUUUUAACCGGGAUGAUAAUGACAGUACCGGGAGAAUAAGCACCGGCUAACUCCGUG
rnacentral:rRNA from 1 species